rnacentral:rRNA from 1 species
UACAUCGCUGGGCGCAGCCUGAUCCAGCAAUGCCGCGUGAGUGAAGAAGGCCUUCGGGUUGUAAAGCUCUUUUGUCAGGGAAGAAACGGCUCCGGCUAAUAUCCGGGGCUAAUGACGGUACCUGAAGAAUAAGCACCGGCUAACUACGUGCCAGCAGCCGCGGUAAUACGUAGGGUGCAAGCGUUAAUCGGAAUUACUGGGCGUAAAGCGUGCGCAGGCGGUUUUGUAAGUCUGACGUGAAAGCCCCGGGCUCAACCUGGGAAUUGCGUUGGAGACUGCAAGGCUUGAAUCUGGCAGAGGGGGGUAGAAUUCCACGUGUAGCAGUGAAAUGCGUAGAGAUGUGGAGGAACACCGAUGGCGAAGGCAGCCCCCUGGGUCAAGAUUGACGCUCAUGCACGAAAGCGUGGGGAGCAAACAGGAUUAGAUACCCUGGUAGUCCACGCCCUAAACGAUGUCUACUAGUUGUCGGGUUUUAAUUAACUUGGUAACGCAGCUAACGCGUGAAGUAGACCGCCUGGGGAGUACGGUCGCAAGAUUAAAACUCAAUGAAAUUGACGGAGC